rnacentral:rRNA from 1 species
CCUACGGGUGGCUGCAGUGAGGAAUAUUGCACAAUGGCGGAGACGCUGAUGCAGCGACGCCGCGUGAGUGAAGAAGUAUUUCGGUGUGUAAAGCUCUAUCAGCAGGGAAGAAGAAAGACGGUACCUGACUAAAAAGCCCCGGCUAACUACGUACCAACAGCCUCGGUCAUACGUAGGGGGCACGCGGUAUCCGGAUUUACUGGGGUUAAAGGGAGCGUAGACGGGUGUGCAAGUCUGAGGUGAAAGCCCAGGGCUUAAACCUGGGACUGCUUUGGAAACUGUGGAGCUAGAGUGCUGGAGAGGUAAGUGGAAUGCGUAGUGUAGCGGUGAAAUGCGUAGAUAUUAGGAGGAACACCAGUGGCGAAGGCGGCUUACUGGACAGUAACUGACGUUGAGGCUCGAAAGCGUGGGGAGCAAACAGGAUUAGAUACCCUUGUAGUC